UGCUCUUCAGAUCUGUUAAUUCCCCCACACACAAACUAUCUCUCCUCCUCCUUUCCCGCUUCAGCAUAUGGUGAGGACGGUGUCACCGCAUCAAACAAGUCGCGCAGCCCAGCGCCGGGACGUCCGCGGGGAGCCGGGGGGUGCGGGGGAGGCAGGA